UACGUCUUAAAUAUUGAAUGUUAGGGUGAUCUAUUCUAUAAUGCCACGAUAGAAUAUCGCUCUCUCUAGAGACAAACAUAGAAUCAUAAAUUGCAGUUCGACAUUGCUUAUUCACAUCAGCCUCUUUAAAGUAAUAAAGCCUCUCACAUUUUUUAGCACUGUCAAUCGUCUUCCUCGAUGAUAGGUCUUGAAAGACACAACAAGAUUGAGAAAAUUUAGCGGAGCAAUUGGAGUCUUUAGUUAAUUUGCUGACAGAUAAGAAAUUACAAGACAAGUUUGGAACAUGAAGAACUGAUUUUCAGGUUAUAAUUCAGAGAAAUGAAUACUUUUUUCUGGAACAAAUGAGAGUGAUUCAUCUGUAAUCUUAACUUUGAUAUUGCUAGCACAUGGCGCGUAUGACAUGAACAAAUGGUAAGAAUCUAUCAUGUGAUUGGAAGCUCCUAAGUCAAUAAUCCAAGGAGUAUUAUAUUUUGAAGAGAUACUUAAGGCUUUCAGAAAUCUACCUUUGUGGGCUAAGGAACUUGAAGGAGUGUGUGUAGAGGAUUGACUCGACUUUGAAGGUUGGAAAAAGUCUGAUAGAGUUGCUCCAGCUGUUCAUUGUUGAAUGCUCCACCUUUCAUUUCUUUGGGGUUCCCUGCUUGAUUGGCAAGGCUUGAUAGCAUUUUUAAUAUUCUGUCUUGGUUUCCAAUCAAUGGGCUUCCCAUAUAUAUCCCAACACUUUAUGUCUGGGUUUUCGACAAUGUUUGCACCAGGAUCAUCCCUUUUGUUUUUUGGCCUGGUCCAUGAGUAGCUCCCUUUGGUAAAUCUCCAAUUCCAGGCCCAAAUCCAGCAAGCCCAACUUUUGAGGACCUAUUAUUACUAACAUUUCCAAAAUUGCCCAAUCCAUUAAUAGGCCCAUAACUUGAGUUAUUAGGUCCAAUGUAAGUUGGCCUAAUACCAGCCAUAGAAGAUGAAAAUGGCUCAAGCUGUGAUGGAACUAAAUCAUAUUUUUCGACCCAACAACAGAAGAUAGAAGUGCCGACGCCUGUACAUCACCGAUCGUCCCUAUCUUCAUCAUUAUUUUUCCACAAUUCCUCCCGUCUCACCUCAGCGAAGACUUCUUGUGUCGGAGGCAGUGGUCUUCGACCCAGAAUUCGGCCUCUGACCUCGUCCAAGUCACGAUUCAGGCCUACGAGGAACUCAUACACUUGGUCAUUUUCUAGCCUUUUCUUGUAUUUUACGCUGUCUUUUGAGCAUUCCCAAUCUUCUUCGCUGCUAAGAUUGAGUUCUUGCCAAAGAGAGGUCAUUUCCAAGAAAUAGUCGGUAACAUCUCUUUCUCCCUGUUUUGUUUGCCAUAAUCGUGUUUUGAUUUCAAAUAUUUGGGAUGAAUUUUCUGAGUCCGAAUACGUCUUCUUGAUAGCAUCCCAAACGUCCU
rnacentral:lncRNA from 1 species